AACGAACGCUGGCGGCAGGCCUAACACAUGCAAGUCGAACGAACCUUCGGGUUAGUGGCGCACGGGUGCGUAACACGUGGGAAUAUACAUUUCGGUAAGGAAUAACACAGAGAAAUUUGUGCUAAUACCUUAUAAUGACUCCGGUCCAAAGAUUUAUCGCCAAGGGAUCAGCCCGCGUCAGAUUAGAUAGUUGGUGGGGUAAUGGCCUACCAAGUCUACGAUCCGUAGGGGGUCUGAGAGGAUGAUCCCCCACACUGGUACGUGAGACACGGACCACGACUCCUACGGGAGGGCAGCAGUGAGGAAUAAUUAGACAAUAGGGCGGAAAGACCUCGAUCUAGCCAUGCCGCCGUGAGUGAAGAAAGGCCGUUAGGGUUUGGUAAAGACUCUUUCUAAUAAGUGAAG
rnacentral:rRNA from 1 species